UACGAAGGGGGGCUAGCGUUGCUCGGAAUCACUGGGCGUAAAGGGUGCGUAGGCGGGUCUUUAAGUCAGGGGUGAAAUCCUGGAGCUCAACUCAGAAUUGCCUCCGAUACUGGCAGUCUUGAGUGCGGGAGAGGUGAGUGGAAUUCCCAGUGUAGAGGUGAAAUUCGUAGAUAUUGGGAAGAACACCAGUGGCGAAGGCGGGCUCACUGGCCCGUAACGUGACGCUGAGGUGCGAAA
rnacentral:rRNA from 1 species